rnacentral:lncRNA from 1 species
AAAAACCAUUUCAGUUUUUAAUAUAAAAAUGUGCAUGAUGCAUGCUUGUGUAUUAUUUCUAAUUGUGUAAUAAUUUAAUUAAAAAAUAUUUUGAAAGCCAGUAUUUCAUAGUGAAGUAUUGUUAUGAACAGAAUUUCAUAGUGAAGGCCAGUGAAAUAUUGUCCAGAAGGAGGUGACAAAAUUUCAUGGACAAAGACCCUAUUUUAUAAUGAAAUAUUGUCUGGGACAAUAUUUCAUAUGAAUACUGUCAGUGGACAAUACUUUAUAUGAAAUUUUGUCUGACAGACAAUAUUUCAUAGGGGACAAUAUUUUAUGUUACACAGUGAGAUUGAC